CUUUUUCAUGUGGCAGUGUUAGAUUUAUUACCUUCCAAUCCACUGAACGUCAGAAGAUGACAAUUAUUUACCCAGUAUCCCUGAAGCCAGCUCUUUUAGAAGUUGAGUAUAACCAGCAGGCCUGGGUUCGAGACCCCCUGAGUCAAAGGUGUGUCGAACAUCUCCGGACUAGUUCAUUAGAAAGAUUCAGCACAUAUGCACGAACAUGUUUCCCUAUGGGAAAUGUUGAUCUGUGGAAGGACUGGGGUCUCAGCCUAGUAUAACAUCUGAAAACAAAACAUCUCAACAGGAUGCAAGGCAGGAGUUGCACUGGUAACAGCCCCAACUCUGGGCCAGAGCUCCAGCUUCAAGUCCGAGGUCAGGGCCUAAUAUCCCUACUGGAAGAUGCAGCCAAACAGGAUGACAAUCAAUCUGUAAAUCCUCGUGAUUGGGCAAGGAGUAAGAGUGGAAGAGUUUACUGAUCAGACAGAACCAAUGCUAAAGGACUUCACUUCUAAGUCCUUGUCAUGACUAAGUUUUGUUCUGAGUGGUUUGUUCUGGCCACUUGUUCUGGGGCUACAUCACUCCUACAGCACUGUCCUAGCCUUCACAUACCUGACCUUAACUCUUCAUCUGUGAUUCAACAGCAAUUUUCAGUGUAAGUUAUGUAGCACUUUGAGAUUGUAUUAAUGUUAAAGCU